UAGGCACAGAAAGAGAUAAGAGAUAGUUUUAAAAAAAGUUAACUUUGCCACAGCUAGCCAUAUUAAAUUAGCCAUUUGAAAUAGCAAUUUAUAAGAAAACAACUAAACGUUACCUCAGGAUUUCAAUUUUAACGACGUCAGAGCUAGAUAUAAGAGCUAACAUAGACAGCAAAGGUAACAAAGAAAAUAAAUAUAAAUACCUAAAUAUUUGUCCAGAAUCCAUUACAGGUGAACCGACUAAACAGAGCUAAUUAGAAAGCUAAGUUAAAUUUAGAUGCUAAGAAAGUACUUAUUUAGCCAAACAUAAAAGUAGCUAUGUUUAGGCCAAAGGGACUACAAAAUACGGCUACAACAGCUGAGUAAUUGCCGAAUUAUGGUUAUAUUUUAAACUGGAAAUGUUACCUGAAGUAAAGUAUUUGAAAAUGUUUAUAUUUUGUCUCUGUUACUGCACGGCAGGCACAAUUCAAACGCUGCACAAGUGAUUUUGUUUUUCCUCGCCAAGUUAACACUUGCCUGCGCAUGUGCGGUGAAACUGCAACUUCUGGUUGGUUAUUAUUGCGUGACGUCAGUUACAGAACAAGGAAGUGCAAGCUGUUCCAUAGCAGCGCGGUUUUUAAGCUGUUGUGAUGAAAACGAAUGAAACGACAUGGAUAAUUUCAGAUCCAAACUGAAACGGAAAAAAUCCUCAACUGAAAAUAUCCACCCGGAAACAUUUUCCCGAGAGACACAGCGACAGACGCAGCUGUUGUCUGUCAGUGACACUGCACAGGAAACAAGGAACUCAGCGUGGUGGUGCAGUGAUCAGCUGUCUCCAGCAGAGAGUCUGUGGGCCUUCACCCUGAGGUCUGCUCUGCCAAAUGUGGAGAAACAGCUCUGGGAGCCAGUUCCUGACCUUCCACUGCCUUCUCAAGUGAGACCUGCAGCACCACAGGGGGAUGAACUGUGGUGUGGCCUCAGUGCAGAGGUUGCUCCUCUCCCAGAACCUGCUUCAGCAUCUCCAGAUCUUCUCCGACUCGACUCCUUUAACCUGCAGCAC